GACGAACGCUGGCGGCGUGCUUAACACAUGCAAGUCGUACGGUAAGGCCCUUUCGGGGGUACACGAGUGGCGAACGGGUGAGUAACACGUGCGUAACCUGCCCACAACUUUGGGAUAACGCUAGGAACCUGGUGCUAAUACUGGAUAUGUGCUCCUGCUGCAUGGUGGGGGUUGGAAAGUUCCGGCGGUUGUGGAUGGACUCGCGGCCUAUCAGCUUGUUGGUGGGGUAGUGGGCUACCGAGGCGGCGACGGGUAGCCAGCCUGAGAGGGUGACCGGCCACAUUGGGACUGAGAGACGGCCGAGACACCGACGGGAGGCAGCAGUGGGGAAUAUUGCACAAUGGGCGCAGGCCGGAUGCAGCAGCGCCGCGUGCGGGAUGACGGCCUUCGGGUUGUAAACCGCAUUCAGCAGGGACGAAGCUUUUUGUGACGGUACCUGCAGAAGAAGCACCGGCUAACUACGUG
rnacentral:rRNA from 1 species